UACGAAGGGGGCUAGCGUUGUUCGGAUUUAUUGGGCGUAAAGAGCGUGUAGGCGGCCACACAGGUCUGCUGUGAAAACUCGAGGCUCAACCUCGAGCUGUCGGUGGAAACCGUGUGGCUAGAGUCCGGAAGAGGAGAGUGGAAUUCCUGGUGUAGCGGUGAAAUGCGCAGAUAUCAGGAAGAACACCCGUGGCGAAGGCGGCUCUCUGGGACGGUACUGACGCUGAGACGCGAAAGCGUGGGGAGCGAACAGG
rnacentral:rRNA from 1 species